GGUGACGCAUACCCAGCACAGCCGACUGGGCUCGUCUGACGACCAUGGGUACUGGACCCUGAACAGGGCUUGGGCGCACGGCCAUUCACACUGCAUGCCCGCAGACGAUGACGGUGGCUUCUUUGAGGCCUACAGAGGCCAGCACGGCGCUCACACUGGCACAGGAUCUGUGAUGAUGCUGCUGCUAAAUGGCCAUGAGUGAGUGGCGCUCCCACUGGCACAGGCUCUGUGAUACUGCUGCUGAAUGGCCAUGAGUGAGUGGCGCUCACACUGACACAGGCUCUGUGAUACUGCUGCUGAAUGGCCAUGAGUGAGUGGCGCUCACACUGACAGAGGCUCUGUGCUGCUGCUGCUGAAUGGCCAUGAGUGAGUGGCGCUCACACUGUCACAGGCUCUGUGCUGCUGCUGCUGCUGCUGAAUGGCCAUGAGUGAUUGGCGCUCACACUGACACAGGCUCUGUGAUACUGCUGCUGAAUGGCCAUGAGUGAGUGGCGCUCACACUGACAGAGGCUCUGCGAUGCUGCUGCUGAAUGGCCAUGAGUGAGUGGCGCUCACACUGACAGAGGCUCUGCGAUGCUGCUGCAGCUGAAUGGCCAUGAGUGAGUGGCGCUCACACUGGCACAGGCUCUGUGAUGCUGCUGCUUGCAGACAACACCGAAUGCUCUCAGACGCCCGUGGCCCAUGGCCACCUGUGGACGUGAAGAGGCCAUCCACUGCCCCAAUCAGCUUCUUGUCUCUGGGUCUCCGGGUUCCUUCUCUUUGUUGUCAUGAUUCUGUUUAACACGCAGCAGCGGUAUUAGUAGUAGUAGGAGGAGGCUUUCGUGACCAAUAUUAUCCAUGAGGCUUUUGGGUUAAAUUGCGUGAAUAUAAAAGUGUCGUUAAACCCCCCACCACCCAACACAGCCAAUUAGUAAGGUUUGUCACGUAAACAAAACCUGCCAAUUAGUGACGAGUACGGCACUAAGCGGCUGUGUGUCGAGAGUAAACCCACUACAACAUCUACAACUCGAGUACAGCACUAAGUGGCUGUGUGUUGAGAGUGAACCCACUACAAUAUCUACAACUCGAGUACAGCACUAAGCGGCUAUGUGUUGAGAGUAAACCCACUACAACAUCCACAACUCGAGUACAGCACUAAGCAGCUGUGUGUUGAGAGUAAACCCACUACAACAUUUACAACUCGAGUACGGCGUUUCGCCGGUAAUUACAACCGGCCUGAUGUCCGUGUCAGGUGGGGGUGGCGGUGUGGGAAUGUGCAGCGAGGGCGGGAGACGGCUCCACUCGCGCGGCGUGCGUGGUAGCCGGCAGGGCUCCGCCUGGAGGGGAGAGGCCUCGUCGCGGGGCGGUGGGCCCCUGGGUCCGGGUUGGGCAGCAGGAGGAGGGGCAGUGGCGUAGACGUGGGCACUCGUGGCAAGUGCAGCGAGCAGAGACGGAGCCUGGUGGAGGCGGCAUUUAAUCUCGUAAUCUUUUGCUUUAAUUUUAACAUUUUACACGAUAAAGUAGAUUCUAGCGCAACCGAUAGGGUUUGGUUACGAUGGUCCGAGCGCGAUUCCAUUCGGCAGAGCGGCCCUGGCCGCUGUUCACGGCGGGGGUUCUCCACUGUAGCUGUGCUGCAGGUGCCUACGAGCGAGGCCGUGGAUAGCAGUGGGGGAGCGGAGACGACCAAGGAGUCGGUGUGGAAGAGCCAUCGGCUCCAAGGGCCACGAAGCCCUGGCGAGUCGUGAUGAGGAGUGCAGCAGCAGCGGCAGUGGCCGGACCAUCGGGGCUGCAGACUCCAGAAGGCCGAGAGCCUCUCUGCUCCUCGUCACCUGCCUGCCGUGGUGGCCUCGAUUAGCACCAUCGCAAUCAAACACAAAGUAGAACCUGGGCUCGUGCUCAUGAACAGUGGAAGACGGCGUUAGGUUCUAGUUGAGCGUCGGGGUGAGGUCGUCCCGCCAGCUCUACCGCUCGCCUGGGAGGAGCCAUAAUUCUAGAUUUGAAGCUUUCGUGACUGCAAGGAUUCAUAUUCUUAGGUUUUUUCGGUAAAGUCGCGUAGAUACAUUUUUUUAAUUAAUAAAAGUAAAAUAAAAUAAAAAUCACGACGUUUCGGAGGCAACACAAGCUUCCGUCUUCAGGUGGAACCGUCACAGCACGACAGCUGUAUCAAGUGAGAGAAAUUCCAUAAUCCCACUCCGCAAGAGCCUCCCAGGUGCUGUUGUAGACUUGGCGGCUAAGGGAUGAGGUUCUUAAAAGGCAUUCUGCAUUUUCUUCACGGUGAUCAUUAACCAUUAUAAGUCGACGUGAUUGUCAUGUAAAACCCGCUGCUUGCUAAUUGCUCCAUUAAACAUCUACUGCAGCCCUUG